rnacentral:rRNA from 1 species
UACGGAGGGUGCAAGCGUUAUCCGGAUUCACUGGGUUUAAAGGGUGCGUAGGAGGGCAGGUAAGUCCGUGGUGAAAUCUCCGAGCUUAACUCGGAAACUGCCGUGGAUACUACCGGUCUUGAAUAUCGUGGAGGUGAGCGGAAUAUGUCAUGUAGCGGUGAAAUGCUUAGAGAUGACAUAGAACACCCACUGCGAAGGCAGCUCACUACCCGAAUAUUGACUCUGAGGCACGAAAGCGUGGGGAUCAAACAGG